ACUUACUACGUGGCGGAUUCUGACUGUGAAGAGGACUGUCCCAAGUGAAGAGUGGGAGUGAUGAAAUUGCAAAAGGGCAGAGUGGAGAAGACUGGAAUGUUCAGCCAAGGCAUUUGAACUUUUAAUGCUGCAAGUCAAGACUUCCUGAAGAUUUUUGAGCAGAUGAGUGAAGUGAUAAGAAAAUGCAUCUUCAGCAGUGACAGCAUCAACGAGGAGGAGACUGGCCGGGAGGCUAUUACCCGC
rnacentral:lncRNA from 1 species